CUCAUUCAUAUUAAUGACGCAGAUCCCGCUGCAAGUCCUGCCUCUCCCAUCUCCUCACGUGCCAUUUCCUCAUUAGUUAUACCCACGUGGAGUGAUUGAAAGACGAACUGUUUUUGCCGGUAGUCGUGGUAAUACAAUGACAGUUUAGAUGCGAACACCAUAUAAAUUAAACGAUGAAAAAGCCUGGAAGGAGGAGAGAUGGCUAGAAACGAUUCGGUUGGCCGUUUUAUGUGUGGAUUAAUUGUAGGAGUAGAGGUCCUUGUGCAUUUCAGGUAUUGUGACUCAAACCAUAGCUGGGUUUUCACCCACAAACCACAGCUGGUUAGGAGCAGCUCUCCUCACCUCCAAGUCAGGGGCAGACCUGCAGUUACCCAACAGCGCUUUCACCUGCCUGUCUGUGGGAUUCCAGACAGAUUCCAGACACUUCCCAGGCCAUCCAUCACCCAUGGGAGCGCCACAUGGAGCGGAGUAUCAGACCACACAAUCACCCAACAUACUGGAUGACCCUGAAGUAUAGAACUCGCAGAAUGUCUCGAUGUGUGUGUGUGUCCAUUCUCUCCUCAGGGCGAAUAAUAUGUAGCCAAACCCCUUGCAUAUUUCAUUCUGUCUAGGCUUUCCAUGUACCUAUUAUGUGUGCCUCUCUCCACUGGGAAAUCAGAUGCAAGCCUCAACCUAACAUAAUAUGAGAUUUUGGGCAACCUGUGAUCAUUGCAUGGGUGAAUGGACUUUGUAGUUUUGUCUUUGGAGGGAACUUGCAUGAUCCUAAUUCGUUAUUAUUAAAAGGGCUACAAUUACCAAUCCCACAACCAGCGCAUUAAAAGUCAGUCGUUAAUGCAUUAUAAUUAGCCUUUUAAAGGGAAUGAAUAUAACACACACUCAGUGCACAAAACAUUCGCAUCACCUUCCUAAUAUUGAGCUCACCCCCCUUUUGCCUCAGAAUAGCCUCUACAAGGUGUCGAAAUGCGUGCCGUAGGGAUGCUGGCACACGUGGACUCGCUUGAUUCUUAAGUUGUGUCAAGUUGGCUGGAUGUCCUUUAUGUGGUGGACCAUCCUUGAUACACACGGGGAACUGUUGAGCGUAAAAAACUCAGCAGCGUUGUAGUUCUUGACACACUCAAUCCGGUUUGCCUGGCACCUACUACCAUGCUUCCGGUGGCGCUGCACAGCCAUUUUUUUGUGGUUUCAGUUAGCUUUUUCUUGUUCUAUAUGAUACCCUAAUGUGGAUUAUUCCCCUUGUGGAUUAUACAUAUAAUGGACGUGAUACGAGCUGUAUCCACAUGUGUUGUCUGCUGGAGUUAUUGCUAGGGAUUUAUUUAUGUAUUUAUGCAUCUAUUGGUGAUGCUGUGCUGUUGUUUGUGGGGAUGCAAGACACCAAAAGGGACACACAUAAAAUAAUUACUAAUACCCCGUUCAAAGGAACCUAAACAUUUUGUCUUGUCUCCUCCCCUUCAUCUACACUGAUUGAAGUGGAUUUAACAACUGGCAUCAAUAAGGAGAUCAUAGCUUUCACCUGGAUUCACCUGGUCAGUUUAUGUCAUGGAAAGAGCAGGUGUUCCUAAUAAGGUUUGUACAUUCCACAUAUAAUACAACAUUCAGAACAUAUUUAGACACAAUGCUUUUGAUUAAGUUGGCUCUCGGCUCCCAAUGGUGUCUUCUGUAGGUAAUAACAUGGUAAAUAUACCUGCAUUAUGUACGGCCCUAAUUGUUGCAAGUGUUCGAUGGUCUUAAUUGAAACGUUAUUGUAAAUGUUAUGUAUAUUCUCUCACCACGUGAAGAUUAGUUCAUUAUUUCAACAUGAAUAAAAUAUAGCCAAAUGUUUGAC
ensembl:lncRNA